rnacentral:rRNA from 1 species
AUUGAACGCUGGCGGCAGGCCUAACACACGCAAGUCGAGCGGCUCGGCGGAAGGGUGAGUAAUGACAAGGACUCUGCCUGGUAGUGGGGGAUAACGUCCGGAAACGGGCGCUAAUACCGCUUCCUAUCACCUGCGCCUCGGUCGCAUUAGCUAGUUGGUGGGGUAAAGGCCAACCAUGGCGACGACCCGUAACUGGUCUGAGAGGAUGAUCAGUCAGACUGGAACAGAGACCCGGUCGAGACUCCUACGGGAGGGGGCAGUGGGGAAGAUUGUACAAUGGGGGAAAGCCUGAUGCAGCCAUGCCGCGGGUGUGAAGAAGGUCUUCGGAUUGUAAAGCACUUGAAGUUGGGAGGCGUUGCCAACAGAAUAAGCACCGGCGAACCGCGUGCCAGCUGCCGAGGUAAUUC